GGAUGGACCUGCGGCGCAUUAGCUAGUUGGUGAGGUAAGGGCUCACCAAGGCGACGAUGCGUAGCCGACCUGAGAGGGUGAUCGGCCACACUGGGACUGAGACACGGCCCAGACUCCUACGGGAGGCAGCAGUAGGGAAUUUUCCACAAUGGACGAAAGUCUGAUGGAGCAACGCCGCGUGUGCGAAGAAGGCCUUCGGGUUGUAAAGCACUGUUGUAAGGGAAGAACAGGUGUGAGAGGAAAUGCUCAUGCUGUGACGGUACCUUACCAGAAAGCCACGGCUAACUACGUGCCAGCAGCCGCGGUAAUAC
rnacentral:rRNA from 1 species